AGAAAUAUUGCUUUCGGAUCACUGAGCGUCACAGGACGAAUAGGUGCCAUAUUGGGACCUCAGUUAGUUUAUUUGAAUACUUACACACCAGGCUUGUUGUAUUAUUUUUGCGCAGGAAUAUCUGUCGCUUGUAUGAUCGGACUACUUUUCUUGCCGGAGACUAUGAACCAAAAUUUAAGUGAUAAGAUCAACGAAGAAAAUAAAAUAGAGAACGGCGGUGACAAUGUAAAAGAAAAGUCCACUGAAUGGCUCGACAAUGUGAAUGGAUAUAUAACACAAAGCGACAAGAAAGUGUUUACAGUUACUAAGGCUGAUACAUCAGAGAAAAUUCGCUCUACUGAAAACAUUAUAUUUUCGACACAGAUGUAAACUAUACAUUAAAGAUUUACAUGUAUACUAAGAAUAUAUAUUUUCAAAUAUGUAUUAAUUUUGAAGAUUCCGUUUAUAAUAUAACGUAGUGUUGAUAAAUAGUAAACAAAUAUUAAUACUU